rnacentral:rRNA from 1 species
GACAGAGGGUGCAAACGUUGUUCGGAAUUACUGGGCGUAAAGCGCGUGUAGGCUGCUUCGAAAGUCGGGUGUGAAAGCCCCGGGCUCAACCUGGGAAGUGCACUCGAAACUUCGGAGCUGGAGUUCUGGAGAGGAGACUGGAAUUUACGGUGUAGCAGUGAAAUGCGUAGAGAUCGUAAGGAAGACCAGUGGCGAAGGCGGGUCUCUGGACAGUUCCUGACACUGAGGCACGAAGGCCAGGGGAGCAAACGGG